CCUUCUCUAACGAGGGUUUUAAUAGAUUGGAGUCCCUCUUAGAUAAAUAAAUGACUCCCCAUUGAAGAUGUUUUUAGUCCCAACAAAUUCUAAGAGAUCGGUUAAACAAUAAUUAAGUUUCUUUGUGUACAAAUAUCUUUCCUUUGAAGCAAUGAGUGUGUGGUUGAUCUACAAAGACGUGGUCCAUUUAGUCUAAUAAAAUCUCUUGGGAUUCUUGAUGGAGACAUAUAAGGCUACAGCAGGUGGUGGUUCAUGAGACCUUAUCUCUAUCAAAUACCACAUUAGCCAUUCAAUUCCGUAAGUACUGAUAUCCUUACAUACAGGUACCAUAUAUAAAUACACAUCAUUGUACUCUCAAAUAUGUCAUAAAGCAUCACAUUUAAAAAAAAAAAAAAUACUUAACUGUGAUAUACAAAUUCUUUGUUGAGAAUCAUUAUUAUAUACUUGUGUUGUGUAACAUAAAAUUAAAGAGAAGUAUGGGUUUUGGUUUAUUUGGUGUAAAAAGAGGUAGAGAUGUAGUGCCAAAAGGGUGUGUUGCAGUGUAUGUUGGAGAAAAUAUGAAGCGGUUCGUGAUUCCUAUUGGAUGCUUGAAUCAACCUUCAUUUCAAGACUUGCUAAGCAAGGCAGAGGAAGAAUUUGGGUACCAUCAUCCAAUGGGUGGACUAACCAUUCCUUGCAGUGAAGAUUCUUUUUUAAACAUCAUAUCAUCAGUUGAUUCUUAAUAAAGACUACACGUUAGUUUUGAGUUUUGAUAAACUAUUUUGUAGAUUCUUUUUCCCCUUUUAUUUUUAUGCAAAAGUGGAAAAUGUAAGGGCACUGAGUUUUUUUAGCUCAGUUUUCUUUUUAUUUUUAUUAUUGAUCAUGAAAUUUCUGCAUAUAUUAUGGACUAAAUUAAAUUGAGUUGUGUUAUUAUUUUUUUGAAAGAGAAAAAAGAACAAUAUAGAAGUUGGAAAACAUGUAUCUAUCUAUCAUUUAAGACGAGUGUUUAUCUUUUUUAUUUUAUGAAUAAAAUUGGCUACGUCUUAGACAAAAAAACUAUAAACCCCUAAAAAAAAUAGUACAAGAGGAAUCUGUCAACAAAACAUUUGACAAAGUGGCAGGAGAAAACUCAAAAAUCAUAAACUUAGCGUCCAAAUUCAGCCCAUAUUUGGUGAGACAAUCUGCAACUUAAUUGUAAUCUAUGAGUCUGCGUACACUUGAAUAUUCCUAAAAUCUCUACUCCAAGCAAUCUUCAAUUCGUGUAAAAUCACCAAAGUUCAGUUUCUAGUAUAGAAUACAGAACAUAGAGUCAUUUUUGCACCAAAACCAAAUAUAAAGCUCUCAUAUGUUAUUUUGUUAGUUGUUUUUAUGCAUUUUUAGUAGAGUUCGGACGAUUUUAAAUGGUUUUGAAGCGAACAGAAAAUGAGGAGACACGGAGAGCAACACUCGUGUCACGAUUUUUGUACAUCGUGACACUCGUGGCAUGAUUUAUAACCAAAUUGAAGAGCAUCAUCUCGCAAAAAAUUGGGCCAAGAUUUGAGGAUCGUCUAGAAGAAUUUCGAAUUGGAAUGUGUAAUCGUGACAUGAUUUUUCAGUUACUGAAGUAGGAUCUAUUAAAGUCAGACAUGUUUCUAUGUAACGGGUUCGAAAAUUUUAGAGAUAAAACACAUUUGGAGCUGAAGAAUUGGAGGUUUGGUAGGAAGCCAUCAAAACUCACAGUGAGUCAUCCAAUUAAUGUAAUGAAUCAUACUCUUAGCUUGUAUUAGUUGUUUAUGCUUCCAUGAGUACAUGUUAAUUUUAUAUAUAUUGAAAUAAAAGAUAUAUAGAUUGGCUAUUAUUCACCAAAGUACAUGUUAAUUUUAUAUAUAUCGAAAUAAAAAGUUAUUAUUUGAGUCAUAACGAGUCAUCUCAUGUUUAGCACAAAUCACUACACAAGUUUCUAUAAUAAGAAGCUCGCUUUCGAGUUCAGAGGAUGACGAUGUACUUGAGAAUGUCGAAAAGUAUCCUUUGUUAUUUGUUCAUAUCAAAAUAAUUUCUUCUAAAUUAUAUCCAAAACUAUUUUUUGGGGUAUCUAGGAGAAGUGGCAAGAAACACCAAAAAAUCACGCACACAAUAUUCUGAGUACAAACUUGGGUGAAGAAGGUGUUUAGCUUAAAGGUAUCAGUAUUGUCAAUAUAGAUAGACCUUAUGAACAAACUAGUUUAAAUUUAACAAUUGAUAAGAUUAUAAAAAUAAAAAAUUUAUUAUUUUGACUGAUAUAAAUAUAUUACAGUAUUAUUUAUAUGCAAAAAAAUAUAAUAUUUUUAAGGUAUCAAAUUAAAAUUGUCUUUUUUUUUAGAGAAAAUUAAAAUUGUCUUUUUUUAGAGAAAAUUAAGAGAGUUCCAUUAAUUUGUUUCUUUGAUUUUUUAAAGACAUUAGGAAACGGUAGGAAAUAGAUCAAUGAAGAUGCGGAUUAGAAUCCUGUUUGUUUUUUUUUUCUUCCACCUAGAAAGGAAAUAUCUUCUGCUAUUGGUUUAAGUUUUGGAAAUUAUUGGACAAGUCAUCUCUCACCAGCAUAUAAUUUGUUGUGGCCUUGUAACAAACAAAAAUGCAUGUAAAGAUGCUGCUUGACUUCGAAAUGAAGAAUAAACUGUCAUGAGUAAACAGGGCUUCACUCAUUCAAGAGAAUAUGCAAUUUCCAAGUUGUUUUUCGUGUUCUUCUCAAGUACUUGUCCUGCAAGUUAUUUUGACUAAGAAAGCUACCAUAUAGCUACUGAUAAUAGAAUUGAAGAUAAGUAAAGACCACAAUUUGUGACAAUGUUUCCCAACAUUUUUAGUCAAAAAAGAGUUUCUGAACAUUUAGGCUAAUCAUCUAAAAAGAUGUCGUCAAAAACGUUGCUAUGAAUGCAUAACAAUUAGCCUAGAUGCAGAGAAAUUAAACUACUCUGCUAAUUCAAAGAAUGUGAAUCCAAAAAGAGCUUUGAAUUCAAGUCCAUGUGAAAUCAUUCGUCUCAACUUGUAUUUGAAAGAUUUUUUUAGCUGUCUAUUGUCUUCAUUUUUUAUUAAGCAAGAAAUAUAACUAUAUCUAAGGCAUCAAUAUAAAUAUUAAAGACAGAUCAAAAUAGAGGUCAUCCCCAAAAACCAAUUGAGGCAAUCAACUUCCUUAUAAAUAUUAAUAAAUCCAAAAUAAAAGUGCAGAAACUUUUUAUAAAGUAGAAAAGUAAGAAAAAAAAAAUAAUAUUGUCUAGCUAUAACGGCUUAUUAAAGCUUAUUUCCAUUCUACUUUAAUUUGGAGGAGGGAAGAAAAUGGCAUCAGCAGUCCUCUUUGAACGGAAGAGCUUCUCAACUUCUGGAUCUACAUUGAAAGCAGCCUGCAGAACCGUAGGCGAUAGCGCCUUCCACACCGAAGAACUUCCAGCCAUGUGUGUAAAUACAGGACUGCAAAAACAACAAUCAUAACCACAGUAAGUAUAAAUAAUAACAAACAAGAAAAGGAUAACAUUAUAUGCAAUUUGAUUGACAAGAAAUAACCUUUAGGUAAGAAAAACUCACUUAGGGGUGGUGAUGAUAGAAAACCACUCCAUUCCAUCAUUGUCAGCAAUCUUCGAGACGACGAAGAACCUUGGAACAAUGAACAAAUCUCCGGACUUCAAAGUUGUCUCCAAAACUCUCUUACCAUCAACACCAACAACCUGAACACGGCCGCUCCCUCUAACAAUGUAAGUAACCUGUAAAGCAGAAUCACAAGAGAAACCAGGAGAGCACAUGGAUCUUCCAUCAAUCCUCACAAGGUCAGCUCCUAAACCAACCUCACCAACCAAAGGAAGGUUCUUGGUGUUCAAGACAACAACCCUUCCACCAUUCUUAAUAUCAACAUCCAAUGGUGCCUCCAAACAGUUCAAAGCCAUGCCUUUCUUGUGUUCCUCUUUAGGCUGAGGAAGGCUUAUUUUUCCGUCAAGCUUCACAAUCCCUUUAGCAGAUUGCUUUCCAACAAGAGUCUUCACAUUGUUCUCGUCCAAGUCCCAAGCUCUUCCCACAAACUCAGUUGAAAAUCCAGUAAAGAUUCCAUUAGGACCAGUCAGGAAAAAAUCAGUAAACUCACCAGCUUUGUGUGCUUUUGAAGUAUCGCCAAGGAACAGAACAACUAACUCAGUGUCCUCUUUGUUGUACCACCAUGUCACAACACCAAAAGGGAGUGCUAAUGCAUCACCCUCCUUAAUUGCGACAACCUUCUCUUUUGAUUCAGGUAGCACAAUUCCAGCAACUCCACUUCCUGUAUCAACAAAUCUUUGCCAUUAAGAAUCUCAACAAUUCUACUAUACUAUCAAUAUUGGUAAUCACAAUAGCAAUAUGAAUUAUGAAAUACAAAAUAAAAUACUCAAAACACAAAUUUAAAUUGCUAUCAUAACCCCGAUUAAGUGAUCAACACAAAAACAAUUAAAAACAAUCAUUCUAAAUCAAAAUUGAUCAAAAUAAAAUAGAAAUAAAAAAGAUGAAUUAGAUGAUGAAAGUUUAUUUACCUUGAAGAACAUAAGCAACCUUGGAAGAAUCAGAAUACCUUGGAACAGCAAAACCAUUCUUGUGAAGAGCUAACUUGGCAGCACCAAUGUUACCUUCACGCAACAUAGGAAGUUCAGAAGGAGACCAUGCAUAGUACGAUCCACCAUCACCACCGUACACUUUCUUAGCCAAUUGAGGAGAAAGAUCGAUAUCCAUAGCAACAACACAAAAAUUGAACGAUCACACGAAAAAGCAAAGCAAAGGAAAUUUGAUGAAGAGAAUAAAUUUUGAUGUGUUUUUGAGGGCAUAUAGUUUGGUGUAUUUAUAGGUAGAAGUGUAACAAACUGCAUGUGUGUAGAUAGUGUUAAUCCGUAAUUUAAAACUCGUUAUCAUCCAAAUACUGUAACUAUCAUAGGGUUAAACUAAAUAAUAAUAUUUUUGAAAGAUAAUAACACUAACUAAAGGGGUGAAUUUAAAUUAGGAUUAGGAUGUUGUUACUCUUAUCCUUUUUUUAUCGUUUUUUUAAUCAAGUAUAUCGUUUCUUUCUAAUUAUGACACUUGUUUAGAAAAUCAAAAGUAGUAGAUUUGUAUCAUUCAACAAUAUUUUAACUUUUAAAAAUUCAAAUUCAUCACUUUUAUCAUUUUUCAAUGCAAUAUUUACAUUUUUUUUAUCCUUUUAAUCAAUGUCUUAAGGGCACACUUUAGCAUUUCCUUAUUAAUUAUUAAAACUCUACAAAAAUGAUUAAUUAAUGUAGAAUGAGUGUGUAGAUAACCCUAACCCUAACCUAGUCGAGUCUUUGUAAAGUGGAGUGAAUAGGUGCGGAAGGGAAUGCGUCAAGAUCGUGGAGGAAGAAAUCUUUGACCGAGAAGAAAGUGGAAUGUUGAUGGUGUUGGAUGAAAUUGAAAGAUGAAAAAGGGAAACAAAACAAGGAAGAGAAAUAGUGGAGAAGAACCGGAGUACAUAGAUGUGGCUUGGGAAGCGCAAAUUGUCUUCCGAUGCCGCCAACUCCCGAGAAGGAAUCCGUGGAAAACUCGAUACUACAUAGGCUUAAAAGAAAUUUUGGUCCCCCUAUUUUAACUCAAUCGGAAUUUUUAUCCCCCUUUAUUAACAAACCACCAUUUUAAGCCCCUUGUUUUGUAUUUCUAUUUUUUUUAAUCCCCCAUCAUAUUUGGUGAUGUGUUACUCUCAUUAAUGAUGUUUCAGUGACGUGUCAGCGCAUGUUGGCUAAUUCAGUUUCCGUGUCGAAUUAUAAAUUACAAAAACUAAUAUCAUUAAUUAUUAAAAUAAGAAAAAGAAUUAAAUCAUUAAAGUAAGGGGAUCAAAUUAAGGGAACGUAAACCCUAAUUUCAUUCAUCCUCAUCCACAUUACUUUCAAAUCAUCCUCUUCAUUCUCUUUCUCUUUUGUGUUUUUUCGUUUUUGUUCUUCAAGCACAUCAGAAGACAUUCAUUUUCGUUCAUCCUCAAUCUUUCUUUAAGCAGAAAACGAAUUCAAAACAAACCCUAAUUCAUUUUAGAACCCCAUUUGUUUUUGUUUUCGCAUAAGCACAUAAACUAUUUCGUUUUCGUUCAUUCACCUAUCAAACAUGUUCAAUUCGAAUUUCUCUUACUAAGGCUUCGUUUGGUUAUUAUAACACGAACGGAACGGAGCAGAAUGGAAUGGUAUGGAGCGGAAUGAAUAGAUGCUCCAUUCCAUUGUUAAUCUAUUAUUAAAACUCGUUAUUAUCCAAUACCGAGUUCGUAAUUACGAUAGGGUUAAACUAAAUAAUAAUAAUUUUGAAAGAUAAUAACAGUAAGUAAAGGGGUGAAUGUAAAUUAGGAUUAGGAUGUUGUUACUCUUAUCUUUUUUCUGUUUUUUUUUUCUUUAUAGUUUUUUUAUUCAACUAUAUUGUUUCUUUCUAUUUAUUAUAAAACUCGUUAAGAAAACUAAAAGUAGUAGGUUUUCAUAGGAUUCAACAAUAUUUUAAGUUUUCAAAAAGUUAAAUUCAUCACUUUUAUCAUUUUUCAAUGCAAUAUUUCUAUUUUUAUCCUCUUAAUAAAUGUCUUAAGAGCACUCUUUAGCAUUUCAUUAUUAAUUAUUAAAACUCUACAAAAAUUAUUAUUUAAUGCAGAAUGAGUGUGUAGAUAACCCUAACCUGGUCGAGUCUUUUGAAAGUGGAGUGAUUAGUGGCGGAAGAGAAUAAUGCAUCAAGAGAAGAAUGGAGUGAUAAGAAAGUAGAAUGUUGAUGGUGUUAGAUGAAAUUGAAAGAUGAAAAGGGAAACAAAAUGAGGAAGAGAAGAAGAGGAGAAGAAUCGGAGUACGUAGACGUGGCUUAGGAAGCGCAAAUUUUCUUCCAAUGCCACCAACUCGUGAGAAGGAGUCCGUGAAAAGUUCAAUAUUACACAUGCUUAAAAGCAAUUUUGAUCCACCUAUUUUAACUCAAUCGGAAUUUUUAUCCCCUUUUUUAAAACCACCAUUUUAGUCCCUUGUUUUGUAUUUCUUUGAUUUUUUUUAGUACCCCAUCAUAUUUGGUGAUGUGUCACUCUCAUUAAUGAUGUUUCAGUGAUGUGUCGGUGCAUGGUGGCUAAUUCAGUUUCCGUGUCAAAUUAUAGAUUAUAAAAACUAAAUGAUUAUUAUUAAAAUAAGAAAAAGAAUUAAAUCAUUAGAGGAAGAGAUCAGAAUGAGGGAAUGUAAAUCCUAAUUUCAUUCAUCUUCGUCCACCUUCCUUUCGAAUCAUCCUCGUCGUUCUCUUUCUCUUUGGCAUUUUUCGUUUUUGUUCUUCAAGCACAUCAGACGCCAUUCAAUUUUGUUCAUCCUCAAUCUUUCUUUAAGUAGUAAACAAAGUCGAAACAACCCUAAUUUGUUUUUGAAUCCCCAAUUGUUUUCGUUUUCGUAUAAGCACAUCAACUAUUUCGUUUUCGUUUUCGUUUUCUCCUACUUAAGUCAUGAAUUCCAAUUGCAGCAGCCAUUGCAUACAAGCUCGACAAAAAUAAGAGUUGGUGAGAAGAAUGUUGAUUUUUGAUUUGGGACUAAAAUCACAUUUAAGCAUCUUGUAUACUAGAGAAAGUUAGAUCAAAAUAAAUAAAUUUAUUUAGUUCAAAAUUUGAUCAAAUACUUAUUGAUAUAAUUUUUUUUCUUAUAUAUAGAACCAAAGUAAGAAUCAUACAAAUUUUGAUCGUACCACACCGCAUAAACAUAAAGUUGUGACUUGUGAUAUUUUCUAUGAGCAUUCUUUCAUAUCUAUGGUGUGAUCGAUCUUUAUCCCUAUAAAUAAAACUAAUUCAAAAAAUUUAUUUCAAAACAAUUGUUUUCUCUGUGAUGGUUUAAAAAAAUGUUUUAUGAAAAAUUAUAGGUUACUUUUAAGAAAUUAUGGAUAAGUUACUCACAAUCAAUUAAACUAAACUUCUCCACUAACUUUGUUUUUAGAACUUUAUCUUUGAUAUAGUUAGCGGAGUACAUGUGACAGAUUUUAGUUUGAUUGUGGAUUACAUAAUUACAAUUUUCUAAAGAUAACUUUGGUCUCAAAUUUUUUUCUUCUUAUAUACCAAAUUUAUUUCACAAUAAUAUGGAUAUGCAAUUAAGAGAACAUAAAAACGUGUUGGUGUUCGACUUUUGGGUAGUGCAUAAUAAAUACUUUUUGGGCAUAGUGUAUUAUUUUUGGGUCUUUAUCAGGCAUUAUUAAAGGGAUUGUCUAUUUAUUAAAAUUCUUACUCCAUCAUGACAUUUUUCCUCCUUAACAUAGGUUGUAUUUAAUUGUUUUGAUCGUCAAAAUGCAAAUUAUUGUAGUCGAGGAAUUUAUUGUGGCCUGACUCAUUUACUCAUGUAAUUAAUUGUUAUUGGACUAACGAACAUCUUUUGAGCCACCGGCUUGGUUAGACCUUGUCAGUAGCCUAGAUUAACCUAUAAAGUGAUUAUAAAUAUAGUGUUACAUUUGCAAAAUCGUUUUAGGUAUUGAUGCUUAAUCAUAUAUAACUCAUUUUUGCACUUUAGUUCACUAUAAGAUUUUGGAUUUUUUGAAGUAGAUUUAAACGCUUGCUUUGAUUUAUUUUGUAUAGAUUGAUAGCAUUUAAAACAAUUAGUUGUAAGUUUGAUUGAAUUCGCUAGAUUAAUAUUGGUUUUGUGACGCUUGUUUCAUAAUCAUAGUUAAUUGGAUUUUGUAAUGAUUAAUCUAAUAGGGAUUCUUAUACAGUUAAUUGAUGUUUAAUUGGUUAAUUUUAUAAUCAAGCAAGAUAAUAGUUAUGAAACAAAUGUUAUAUGUCUACAUGAUAACUAGUAAAUAGAGAAAUUGCAGAUAAGAGAAUACCACAAUUUUUAACAAUCUCCUAUGUCCCUAACUGAGUUAAUACUACUGUUACUUGGAAAUUGGUAGACAUGUUGGUCCCAAAGUUUUGCCAAAUAAACAACCUGAAUUCGGUAUCAAAGAAGGUCAUUGAACAGUGAAUUUGGUUUCUUGAAAUACAUAAUUAGAAAAUAGAAUGAUAAAAUCUGAUAAGUACAAACUGAUCAAUGAAUUUUGGAAAUUUAGAGUUAGAGGUAUAUAUCUAAAAUUUGAGUAGACAAAAGUUAGAGAGUAGAAAAGAUACACAGUCAUGGACUAUAGAUAGAUAAACCAUGCUUCAAAGGUAGGAAAACAUAUAGAAUGAGGAUGUGUUAUUCAAUGGAUUAUUCAAGGAAUUGUAAAUUUCUUAUCUGCAUUAAAAUAAUAAUUCACACAAAAUACUAAGGUUCUUCCCUUGCUGGGAUUCAUGUGUACUAUUCGUGUUUUGAAAUUUAUCAGAACAUCAAGUCUAUUUUUUCUGAUACUAAUUGGUCUAACUGCAAGGAAGAAUCAACAUUCUAACAUAGAAACAAAAAGUAAACAUAGGAGCUGCUUGAAAAGUAUAAUUCAUUGUUAUUAUUCAUCAAACAAAAAAAGCAUUCUCAAAAUUUAUCAUUCUUAUGAUAAUUACAUUUCCAAUCUCUGUAGGGUCUUUACAAUUUGAUAAGAUGUCUCAUGUUCAAAAUGGAUCUACUAACAGUAAACUAUGUCGGUCUCCUACAAUAGUGUGAGCUUUACAAGCGAGACGUUAUGUGCUGGAAGACAUCUUCGGUGCAAGAAAUAGUGAGGCCAACCAUUGGUUCAAGUAUGAGAUGGAAAACAUACUACAGUCAGUGAGUUGUAGUUUGAGCAGCAGCCACAGUAGAAACCAUUGAGUCCACUCCACAGAUAUUUCGUCCCCUACAAAUCUUAUAGUAUCCAUUUUCUCCCCACGUCUCGCCCCAGGAGCUUUUAACAAUCCAAUACGGCUUCUCCUUCGUAUAAGCUCCAGAACCGUACCCCACCAGCAAAACUCCAUGAUCCAGCCUCCUUGUACAAGUGUAUGGGCACGAUACACCUCCCACGUAUGUCUGCAUGUAUGCCGCAUUUAUGGCAACUGCAUUUGUGAACAUUUGAAUUAGAUAAUUAUAAGUAAAAUAAUAGUAAUAAUAAUUAUAAUUCAAAUUGUUCAGAUUGUUAGGGUAUUACUCACCAGCAAGAGGUCCAUAUUUGAGAAGAUUGGCAGCAAUUUGGUCGUCAUCAACUAAAACAGAACUGAAAUUUGCCGCCACCGAUCGUGCAAUGUUUGUCUUGUAAUAAGUAUAGUCUUCCACUCGCAUGAGACCACCAGAUUUUUUAAUGUACUCAUGAUCACAAUCAACAUGUUGUUGAUCACUAAGACUAACGAGUUCUCCAGUAGAGAGGAAGUUAGCACCUUCGAGUGCGCCAAUUGUACUGAAACUCCAACUCGAACCACAGAAACCCUAAUUCAUAGUUACAAAUCCAAAAUCAAAAUUUAAAAAAUUUAAUCAACUUAUAACAACAAUAUUAAUCAUAAUCAUAAUUACUUAAUUAGAAAGAAUAUAUACCUGAUUCCUAACAGGGGUAACCGCUCCUUUUUCUCUCCAAUCAAAAUCACGAGGAAGGUUCUCGGACGAAAGAAUAGGUGCAGCUUUUGCAUGUCUCGGUAACCCUACUCCUUUUAAUCCCAAGAUGCUAUUACGAAACUCCCUCGGAGUAAGAUCGGAGAAUCUUGUAACACCAUGAGUUGCCGAAGGAUCCAUUAUCACAUGUCUCUUAGCACGGUGAAGGUUAGACUUGAAGACGUUGAACCUAUAAUCAUGUUCAUCUUUGGAGGAAUAAACCUUACCAAACCUUUGCUUGAAUUCAUUAAAUUGAUGCUCAGCUCCUCCCUUAUCGACCACCUGCUGGAUUAUUGGAUCUUCUCGGUCGUUUGGCGUCGAGAAUGCCAAGUCGACAGAAAAGAACAGGAAAAGGACAGAGAACAGCAUGAGAGUCUUGUUACGAUUCAUCAUGGCUUGAUCGUAGUAUGGUAUGUUAUGACUUAUGAUAUGUUAAGUUGAGUGCUGAGUGAGUUUUAUAUAGGGAAAAUGUUACAUGAACACCCUUUAUUUCUACACUCCAUUGUACACCUCAUGUAUUAGGGAUAUUUUGGUAAGUUCAUCUUACAACCACACUUUAUCUUCUAUUUAUGUGGGGUCCAGGUUGCCACGUGUCAGAAUUUUGUAUGGGUGUAAAGGGUGUAUUGCCACAUGGGGUGGUACAUGUAUCAUCACUCUUUAUAUAGUGGUUACGAUUACAAUAAAGGGAUAAUAAUGAGUGAUAACAAAUAGAUGCAGGACACGUGGAAUUAGUUUUCUGUUAUAUUUGAAUUUAGUUGACAGUUAGCGAAAACUGAUAGCUAGGAUUUUUCUAGGUUGUUGCUUCAUGUCGGUGUCAUGUGAAUAAAAGCCCAAACAAGUAAAGAACUAAACUCAAUAAACUCAAUCUUCUUUUAUGGUGGUGGCCAGAGUUUGAACACCUGGACCUUGCAUAUAUUAUGCAUUAUUUCUUUCAACUGAGUUAAGCUCACGAGAACAACUAAACUCAAUCUUCUGCAAGUAAUUAGCACGGAAAGGCUCGUUGGUUUAAUUUUUUUUUUUAAUGUAAAGAACUAGCAAAAAGACGGACACUCAUGUGCUCGCUCUUUUUAUUGCGUUAACGUUUGUAUAUUAUAUUUUUUUAUGAAAUUUUAAUUUUGAUUAAAAGUAAAAAUAUAAAUAUUUUUUGCUUUCAAAUUAUAACAAAUCAAAUUAAUCAUGAUUAUCUAUUUCAAUGAAACAGACAAUUUAACAAAAAAUAAUCUAAAUUCUUUCUUUUUAAUAACUCUAACAACAAUUUUAUUAUAGAAAAAGUUGUUGUUUAAGGGUAUAAUUGGGAUAAUGAAAAAAUAAGUAUAGAUAUACUCAUCUAGUUUGUAACACUUUUUAAAUGAUAAAGGAAAAAAUUUGACAUUUGUGUUUAUUACACUUUAAUUUUAAUAUUUAAAUUUAUUCUUAUCUAUUUGUUACAUGUGUUAUUUGGAUUGAAAAUUGAGGGCAUUUUUUAAAAGAAAAAGAUGAAAGAGGUUGUUUUAUUUAUAUAUAGUAUAGAUAAGGGCAAAUGACAACCCAUUUCACUGAGAGUCUGUUUGGUUCAAGAGUUUUGGAGGGGAGUGGAAGAAAUAUUUUUAAUUUAACGUGUUUGAUUCAAAUUUUAGAAGGGGAGAAGAGAUGAACAAAAUCCUUUCAAAACUCACUUUUUGCUUCCCUUAAACGAUCUCUUUAAUAUUUUAUGCAUUGCUAAAAUUAUCCUUAGAUUAAUUUAAAAUCUCAAUAUUAUCCUUAUAAUAACUUUUAUUAUUAUUAUUAUUAUUAUUAUUAUUAUUAUUAUUAUUAUUAGGUUAUAUUAUCCUUGUAACAACUUUUAUUAUUAUUAUUAUUAUUAUUAUCUUUUAAAAAAAAACUUAUUAUUAUUAUUAUUAGGUUAUAUUAUCCCUAUUGUAACUAAAAAAAAAGGUUAUAUUAUCCCUAUAACAACUUUUAUUAUUAUUAAGUUAUGGGAAAAGUUAACCUGUGUCCUUAAGGCACAAGUUAAAUUUUAUUUUAUUUUUUUAAAAAAGAAAAGAUAUCAUUAAUGAAUCAAAUCAUGAAAAUACACCUCACUGAUUUGGGGAGGAACCUCUUCUAACCAAAUCUCUUUGGGAUUUAAAUGAGCUAAUUGGGCCAUAGCAUGGGCCGUUUUAUUACACUUCCUAGAGAUAGAUUGGAAUUGCCACGCGUCAAAGCUCCAUUGCAUGGCUUUGAUUUCCUUUACAACACUUCCCAUAUAAGAUCUGUCUUCCAGAUUGAUACUUUGAGCUAGGCGCAUAACUUUCUCAUUGUCACCUUCAAAGCAAACACGACGAAAACCACAGUCAACUGCAAAAUGAACCGUUGUAAGUAGUGCGUGCGCCUCUGCUAAAGUAGCAUCUUCAAAACCUUUAACCUUCCACGUUGCAGCUGCCAUUGCUUGACUUGGUCUCGAAUCAUGGUUCCUAAACCCCACCAUCCAUGGUGUUGCAAAUUGGCGUCACAAUUCGCCUUGACCCAUCCAUUUUCCGGCGAAGUCCAAAGGCUAUAUUUCGACGAACGCUGGUGAACUGAAGCAGCAGUGAGAAUGGUGUUACUAGAUAUAUCGGUUGCAAUUCUUGCCUAUUGACAAAGUUAAACUAAAUUAUUUUUUGUGGCUGAAAUCAUCACAUGUGCUGUUUAGUUAUAAUUAUCAUGAUUGGUGGAAACACCCGCUUCCUUGUAUGGGAGUCCAGGUGUAAUCUGUUUCUUUUUUUGUUUGGUGCUCUUGUCUGUUAGCGCCUUUUUACUGUAAAUACUGCUGGUUGUUUUCCCUUUGCAUGUCUUGUGCAGGGUAAUUCAACUUUGUUUAUAAUAUAUACCAUUUUAGUUUGUUCAGAAAAAAAAAUUGUUAUAAAUAUAAUAUUGAGAUUUAAAUUAAUCUAAGGAUAAUUUUGACAGUGAAAUAAAAUUUGCUCCGCUCCUCUUCCCUCCCCUUUUAAAAAUUGAAUCAAACACUUCAAAUUAAAUUAUUUUUCUCCCUCCCCUCUAAAACUCUCGAACCAAACGGAUUCUCAGAGGCCGUUUCCAAGACUUGAAUAUGAGACAUUUGACAAUAACUUUAACAGCUGGUUACCCUUAACCCUAUAAAAUAUUAUAAGAAUCUUUGAAGAAAAAUUAAAAAAUAAAACUUUUGGGAAAUUAACAAUCAAUGAAAAAAUUUAGGGUUAAAUAUGUUUUUGGUCCCUAUAAAUAUACCAACUUUUCAUUUUAGUCCCUCAAAAAUUUUCCUUCACCUUUCAGUCCCUCAAAAAUUUUCCAUCUUCACUUUUGGUCCCUCUCUUAAAGUAAACUCAUAUGUAGAAUACAUAUUUUUGAAUAAAAUUGUGCAGAAAAAUGCAUAAUAUUAUAAGAAACUCUCCCAAAAAAAAUUAGAAUUUUUUAAUAAAACAUGAAUUUAAUAUGAAUUUUUAUAUGUUUGACGGUUAAAAAUUCAUAAUUAAUUUAUGUUUUGUUAAAAAAAUUUAAAUUUUUGGGGUAAUAUUUUUUACAAUAUUCUACACAUUUCUGCACAAUUUCAUUAAAAAAUACAAAAAUUAACUUAAAAAUAGGGACCAAAAGUAGUGAUUGAAAAUUUUAUAAGGACUAAAAGUUGAAGGAAAAUUUUAGAGGGACUAAAACGAAAAGUUGAUAUAUUUAUAGGACCAAAAACAUAUUUAACCCAAAAAUUUAAUGGGAUUAACAUGAAAAAUUGGAAUACCCUUUAUCGUCAUCUUCCCAGGAUCUCACUUAUCCCUUCCUUAUCAGUUUCUCAAAUCCAUUGAUUUUGUUGUCUGACUCCCUAACAGUGGAUUUGAAAAAACUUUUCAUUAAAAAUAAGAUUAACCAGUAAUUCUUUGAAAUGAAGGCUGAUUCAAGGGAAUAAUUAACCUCAAUACUAAGUCACUGUGAAGGGAAGGUACCUCAUAAACACAAGUUUCUUAUCUAUUUUAUGUAGUUUAUUAGAAUAAUUUUGUUUUUCUUUCAAAUUUAUCAUUCAUUUUUGUCCUAUAAAUUUUUUUAUCAUUCAUUAUCUUUUAUUUAUAGAUAAUGAGGUUCUUUUGAAAUAGAAACCCAAUUCCAGGCUAAAUGAUUGUAUGAAACGGUAAAAUAAUAGAGAGCAUAGGAUGAGAUAUCAUGUGGUGUUUGUCUUAGAUUGUACCCCACCCUUUCAAACAAUGUCCAAUACAAGAGGAACCUCAUAUUUGUUCAUGCAUUAAUAUUAAUCUCUUUUAUUAAUAUUUGUUCAUGCACUAAUAUUAAUUGGUACGUACUUCAUAAUUUUGCAAACAUGUCUAAGACAUGUUUCUUCAUUUUGAUAAUGUUGAUCUCCAGCUGGUAAGUUAUUAUCUGCUUCACAUUCUUCUCAUACACCAAUAUCUUCUUUUCACAAGACAUACAAGAAUGGGUUUUCGUUUACCUGGUAUCCUCAAACCAAGCAUCUUCAAAAGGAGUGGAUGUGCCAAAGGGAUACCUUGCAGUAUAUGUUGGAGAGGAAAUGAA
rnacentral:lncRNA from 1 species